UGUUUCACAAAGUAUCACACCCACGGGUUUUGUUUUUGUAAAUCUUUUACUCCCUAGUGGACACCCCACUUUCUGUAUUCGAGGGAUGAAUGCAUAAGGAAUUCAUUAAGAAAUCAGGCUUUGGUGGGACAGCUUUGAUUUGACACUUUUGAAAUACGAUCCAGGUCACGGUGGUGAAUGGUACAAACCUUUUUUUUGGCACCAGCAUCUGGACUUGAUUAUUUUAAAUGAGGUCGUGGGGCGCUGGCGUCCCCCCUCGAUGGAGCUGCUACUGCAGCCAGACCUGGUACCCCAAGAUGGUGCAGGAAAUUAGCAUGGGUUCCAAAUACCUGGAAGCAAACGUGUACUGUAAUUCUCGGCUUUGUUGUGUCAGUGCCCUGUGUCUAAGCUUUUAGAACGCCACCCUUAAUGCUUCGUCAGCGAUGAUGGCUUUCAUGCCAAGGAUAAACUAACCCUGGAGCGUUUUAUUUGCAGGGAAUGUCUCAGCAGCGGAAGUGACCCUAACUAGGCUCUUCAAUGAAUAUUUAUUAAAUGGAUAAAAAAAUAACUUCAAAUAACCUGCCACUCGUGAUGUGGCUAGUGUGCUGUGGGCAGCUGUGUGGCUCCCCACCAGCUUGGUCGCAUGGGCUGCAGUGCCUUGGCGACCCCAGUGGCCAGGAGCUUAAGCCAGACAGUCUCCUGCCCCACGUCAUCUGCAGUCAAACAACAGUGGGUAAAAUUGGGCUGUCACCCACUUUUCAGCAGCUGAUAUGUCCAGUUUUCUGAUCUGGGGAAUGUUUAUAUCUGCAAGUUUAUUUUUCAGGAUCAGAGUCUGGUUAAAAGAGAAAGAAAACAAGCUGUUUCACAUCUGAAGAGCUUACCGACCGUCCGUCUUCCCUCUUCUAUGUUGUUUCAGAAACAAUCACAUGGCCACUUCUCAGGCACUUUCACCGAAGCCAAAUUCCAUGCACACUUAUGCCUCAAAGAUGAAUGGCUUGUUUUGAUGUUUGGAAGGAGAUUAACGACACAUAUUUUGGGAAGAGAUUGUGUACCGGGAAGAUCCGAAUGCGGACCCUCGUUUGUGCCUCGUUUGUGCACGUGCACGCCAGGCUGACCCAGGUGGGUCCCAUGUAUUUCUCUCCCCAUGUCUCAGCCUAACAUCAUCCAGGGGUGAAGAGUUUAGCGUCUGCAGCGUUGUGUCUCAAAGCAGCAUCUCCUAUAAACCCCCACAGAAUCGACUUACAGAGGAGAAAGCAGAGACAGAGACUCUAACGGCUGGGGUGUCACCCAUACCUGCUCGUGAUGCCCGGGACCCGCACUUGCCGCACCUUUCUGUCUGUCACGCAGCUAACCCAGGACGGACUAAACAUUGUCCUGAAAGAUAAAAUCUCAGGAAACCAGUAAUGUCCCAAAGGGCCCUUGAAUCUGCCUUGACUUCUAACCCAACAUGACUUUCCUUUGUUCCACUUGGCAACACGCUUUAUGUCCCGCUCACAAAUUCUACUGCUAACUUUGGGAUCGUGUCUCCCUUCCAAUUAUGGCAUUUGUUUUUUCCCUUCGUGUAUCAGAAAUUGCUUCUAUGAACUACAAAGUGAAGGAAACUAAUUUAUUUUUUACAGAAUAGGUGUUUGUAGCCUUGGGAACACUACUGAGAUUCCUGGGGCCUUGUUUCUGAAUGUCUUUUCUUCUGGCUUCUGCGCAGGCCAAGCAGACUCUCCCAUGUUGAGAAUGCAGGACUCUGGAGUCGGGAAGAGAGAAUUCCAGUAACAGCCUUCCAGUUUCUUAGCCGCGUAGCCUGAGGCAACAUUUUGAGCCUCAGUCCCCCACUCUGUGAAACGAGGUGGACACACCUGCUUCUCAGGGCUGCUUGGGGACCCCUCAGGGGCAGAGGCGAUAGGAUGCGCAUCCCACUUAAGAUGGCCAGUCCAGGUCGAUGCCCACUGCGAGCGCUCACGGUCAGCUCUGAUCGAGGGGAUGCGCGCAGGUGUCUAGCCUGGUGCUGACUGGUUGUGUCUGAGUUGGGGCUCCCUCAGAUGCAGGACCGAAAAUGAGGAUGACGGUGACAGAAGUUUGUUUGGGAGGCGAUCCCCAGAGGCGCCUGCAGGGGAGGCCGAGGCGCUGACAUAGCUCCAGGGAACGGCAUCCGUGAGGGCGUCUGUCGUGGCAGCUGGGGCUCGGUCCUGCUGGGGACCUCCCAGCUGACUGCUUGGCGAGUCUGAGGCUGGUUAGCGACCACCACUCCUGCCCACUCUGGCUGCUCCAGCACGUCCUCGCCCACCCAGCGCAAGCUCUCGUGGCCACGGCGCUCACCGGAGGGAUCGUGGGUCUGCGGAUGUGAGCUCCAAGGAAACGUGGCAUCAGUAGUGUCUGCUACAACCGCUCUUACAGGUUUGCAAAAGAACUCGGCACUUACCGGGUACCUCAAGUGACACUGGUCACUCUCGGCACAGUGAGCAGGCCUGGCUGUGCGGCUCAGGGUCAGCCCUGGACACAGACAGCAGGUGCUCACCUCCAUCGGGCACUGCCAGGGGCUGCCGGGGACGGGGCUCCCUGCCACUAAGGCAGACAGCUGGGGGCGGCACGCUCUUCCUGGAAGGAGUAACCGGGUGGCGCGUCUGUCCUGCACAUUCGCCCUAUCUUGCUUCUAGAAUUCCGCAGGCAGGCUUUCCUUGCCCGGUGCCACCCCUCCAGGACCCUUCUUUGGAAGAGAGGCCUCCAGGUGCUGACAUGUGGUGUGAAAGCGCUGGCCCCCUGCCAAGCACACUCCAGCAGGGCCACCAGCCCCCAGGUUCCCCUCACACACACUGCUGGCUCACGUCUUAGUACCCACUCUUCACUGUGAACAUAGACAAGUUUUACCAUCGUGGGGGAAACCAACACAAGUGAGCACACAAAACAGACCAUUCAAGUAAAAAAUCAGGCACACACACACAGACACACCCCACACAUACACCUGUUGUUGGAUACCAUCAGAGAGAGAAAAGAAAAUUCUGCAUCAUGAAUUGAGAAUAACCAUCAGAGGCCAAAAAUAACCUAAAUUAAUUUUUUUACAAGUUCAGCGGGUGGAGUGAAAGAUGAAAUUAAGGAUUUAUUGGGCUAAAGGGGAUGGAGACAUGGAAAAUACAGGGAAAAUGUAAGAAAGGUAGAGAAUCAUUCUAGGAGGCACAAUAAUUAACAGAAGGUAUAGAAUAAAAGAACAGAGAUGUAUUUUUAUUUUUUUAAGAUCUUAUUUUUAAGCAAUCUCUACGCCCAAUGUGGGGCUCGAACCCACAACCCCGAGAUGAAGAGUCAGCGUGCUCUACCCACUGAGCCAGCCAGGUGCCCUGGUAACAUAUUGUUAAAUAAACUGAAAGCUUAGCUGCUCGUUAGACGUUGGACCUUCUACAGUGAUUAUUGGGUAAAUGGAUAAAUAAACCAGAGGCGUGAGUGUCCAUAUCAGAGAAGCCCAUUGAACACCUCGGAGAUUGAGCUUCAAAGACCUGCGGAGAAGUACAUCCUUACGAAACUUCACGUAUCGUAACUAAUUGAGUUUCCGAACUGUGUUUCAAAGUUAACCUGUUCAGUUUAUGAAUAAAUAAGUAUUCAUAAAAGGUUGUGCCUUGAGCUGUGGUUCUAACUUUAAGAGGGCCGACACAGCCGACCUACAGAGGCUGAGCGAAUCGGACUGAAUCACCAUGGUUGUGAGUAAAGUCAGCUUCCAGUAAGAAACAUCGUUAGAACUUAAAAUGAAUGAAUACAGUUGUCUAUACCAAAUAGUCUGAAAACUUGGACUAUCUUGUGGCAAACAUGCUCUGGUCCCAAGGUUACAAGAAAACAGUGCAUGGAAUUAUUAACACAACACUAUCCAUAUACCACGAAAGCCCUUUACACUUCUUAUCACAAAGACUUAGAGCUUAACUUGAUGCUGGUGAGGUACACAAUAUAUGCAGAUUUAAAAGUCUUGUCUAGUGGAACAUCUUAUCUAUCGAAAAAAUAUCUACUCUCUAGCUCAGGCUUUUUCUUUUUAAAAGCACCUGGUUAAGCAGAUUCUCAUUUUCUUGGGGUUUCUCAUUGAAUGCGGCUGCUUCAGCCAAAUGUUUAGCCAAGGCUGAAAUUGGAGAAUAUGGGACUCUGAGUUCUCUACUUCCACCCAAACACCAGAGAGAACUGAUAAUCCUAAACUCCCACAGAGGGGAAAAAAACACGGAUCCUCUAUUGGGACAGGUGCCACUGAUGUCUGCCAAGCAGCCCUUCCCCUUUCCGGGGAGUUAGUAGAACCCAGGUCAGAGGCCUGCGGUGUGGCCCCUCCUGUGGGAGGAGUCAUGACGGGGCCGCAAGGUCCUGUAGGACGCCUUGGCCGGGUGCUGGACGGGGUGUGGUGCGGCCUGGCUCUGAGCGAGGAAGCACAGGGGCGCACCUGCUGAGGUUGGCUUCAUCUGACUGCUCUUCCCCUUGUGCCUCAGGAUGUGAGGUUUGGAGCGGGUGCCAUCAUCUCAUCCCGGUGAAGCGGGCCACGGCUGACACGCUGGAGGUGGCGGGGUGGACUGCUGGAAGCCGCCUGGGCCCUUGGUGAGCGUGGAGAGGUGCCAGACCAACCUCAGGAUUGCUUCCUUCCAGACCUCCCGCGAAGGGAACAAUCAAGCUCUGUGCCCAAGGUGGGGCUUGAACUCAUGACCCUGAGACCAGGAGCUCCCUGCUGUGCCACUGAGCCAGCCCCAGAGCAGCAGUCGUUAAAGAAGAAAUAUUUGAAGAUGGUCCACUUAACACUUAAAAACGAGAUAAAUAUUGACAAUGAGCCAUGCAGUAUGACUGAGAACAGCAACCAGUGGUAAGGGUGAACGACCAAAUAAAAUGUGGAGUAUCCGUACCUCAGAAUCUUCUAUAACCCUCCGAAGCAGACUUUGGACCCAUCACAGCCUUCCCGAGCUUAGGAGCACAAGACAACACUUCAGCACCAUGCUUGGGAUUUUCAGCAGAGAAAUCACCAGCAAAUGCCCAAGAAUGAGAAAAACAUGGCAGGAAACAGACCACGUAAAGGACAUUUGUAUCUAGUAUGAGUCGGAACGAGAAGGCAGCGCGUCACCUGUUUGACCUCAGCUGGGGACGCGAGAGUCAGAUGAUACAUUUUUUGCACCUGCACCGAUGUCCAAAAAUGAUGUUGUUCCUGGCACAGAGCUCCUGAUCCCCUUGGAAUCUCCUGAGUGAUGAGUAUCUUUUGUUUUUCAUAAGGAGCCCUUCUCAGCCACACCUGAGUUCAUGCUAAUGAGGUGACUGCGGGAGGGGGGCUGGUCCCCAGAAAGACCAAGCCACGGGUAGAGGGGACGGGUAGAGGGGACGAGGGGACCGGAGAGGGGCCAGAGACGGAGUUCCAUCACCAAUGGCCAAUGACUUAAUCAAUUGUGCCUAUGUACCGAAGCCUCCAUAAAGACCCUAAAUGAAGGGGUCCAGAGAGCUUCCAAGUUGGGGAGCACACGGAAUGCACCCCCCCCCACCUUACCGUGUGCCUCUCUUCCAGUCGGCUGUCCCUGAGUCAAAUCCUUUAUACCGAACUGGAAGUCGUCAGUAAAACACUUUCCUGAGUUCUGGGAGCCGUUCUAGCAAAUGAUCAGAACUGAGGAGUCACAUGAGACAGAGGUGGGUACCCGGGGCGCCGGACCUGAGACGCAUCUGACGGGAGGCCGUGUGGUGGGAGCGAGCCCGUGUCCCGUGGGGUCUGGUGCUAACGGGGGGGGGGUCAGUGUCAGAAUGGAGUGACGUUGAGGGACCCCCAGUUGCUCUUUGGAGAACUGCUGUCGGAAAAGACACCAUGUCCUUGCUGUCAGGAGAAGACGAGAGCUUCAGCCGGCAGUGGGCCUCCUCAGGAUGCCCGGCUGCCGGCCGGGAGUCGUCUUGGUACGAAAUGCUGAACCACCAAGAGAGGUAUUUCCUGUCAGAGUCGUUCUGCUG